AGCAGCCGCGGUAAUUCCAGCUCCAAUAGCGUAUAUUAAAGUUGUUGCAGUUAAAAAGCUCGUAGUUGAAUUUCGGGAUCAAGUCGUCGGUCGUGCUUAGGUACGUACUGGCGUCAUUGAUUUCUCCCUUCUGACGAACCAUGAUGUCAUUAAUUUGGUGUCAUGGGAAAUCAGGACUGUUACUUUGAAAAAAUUAGAGUGUUUAAAGCAGGCUCACGCUUGAAUACAUUAGCAUGGAAUAAUGAAAUAGGACGUUCGAUCCUAUUUUGUUGGUUUUAGGAUCAACGUAAUGAUUAAUAGGGAUAGUUGGGGGCAUUAGUAUUCAAUUGUCAGAGGUGAAAUUCUUGGAUUUAUUGAAGACUAACUACUGCGAAAGCAUUUGCCAAGGAUGUUUUCAUUAAUCAAGAACGAAAGUUAGGGGAUCGAAGACGAUCAGAUACCGUCGUAGUC
rnacentral:rRNA from 1 species